UACGUAGGGGCUAGCGUUGUCCGGAUUUAUUGGGCGUAAAGAGCGUGUAGGCGGCCAGGUAGGUCUGCUGUGAAACUCGAGGCUCAACCUCGAGACGCCGAUGGAAACCAUGUGGCUAGAGUCCGGAAGAGGAGAGUGGAAUUCCUGGUGUAGCGGUGAAAUGCGCAGAUAUCAGGAAGAACACCCGUGGCUAAGGCGGCUCUCUAGUACGGUACUGACGCUGAGACGCGAAAGCGUGGGGAGCGAACAGG
rnacentral:rRNA from 1 species